rnacentral:rRNA from 1 species
CGAAUAGGGGAGCCGAAGGGAAACCGAGUCUUAACUGGGCGUUAAGUUGCAGGGUAUAGACCCGAAACCCGGUGAUCUAGCCAUGGGCAGGUUGAAGGUUGGGUAACACUAACUGGAGGACCGAACCGACUAAUGUUGAAAAAUUAGCGGAUGACUUGUGGCUGGGGGUGAAAGGCCAAUCAAACCGGGAGAUAGCUGGUUCUCCCCGAAAGCUAUUUAGGUAGCGCCUCGUGAAUUCAUCUCCGGGGGUAGAGCACUGUUUCGGCAAGGGGGUCAUCCCGACUUACCAACCCGAUGCAAACU